UUUAUGGAGAGUUUGAUCCUGGCUCAGGAUGAACGCUGGCGGCGUGCCUAAUACAUGCAAGUCGAGCGAACGGACGAGAAGCUUGCUUCUCUGAUGUUAGCGGCGGACGGGUGAGUAACACGUGGAUAACCUACCUAUAAGACUGGGAUAACUUCGGGAAACCGGAGCUAAUACCGGAUAAUAUUUUGAACCGCAUGGUUCAAAAGUGAAAGACGGUCUUGCUGUCACUUAUAGAUGGAUCCGCGCUGCAUUAGCUAGUUGGUAAGGUAACGGCUUACCAAGGCAACGAUGCAUAGCCGACCUGAGAGGGUGAUCGGCCACACUGGAACUGAGACACGGUCCAGACUCCUACGGGAGGCAGCAGUAGGGAAUCUUCCGCAAUGGGCGAAAGCCUGACGGAGCAACGCCGCGUGAGUGAUGAAGGUCUUCGGAUCGUAAAACUCUGUUAUUAGGGAAGAACAUAUGUGUAAGUAACUGUGCACAUCUUGACGGUACCUAAUCAGAAAGCCACGGCUAACUACGUGCCAGCAGCCGCGGUAAUACGUAGGUGGCAAGCGUUAUCCGGAAUUAUUGGGCGUAAAGCGCGCGUAGGCGGUUUUUUAAGUCUGAUGUGAAAGCCCACGGCUCAACCGUGGAGGGUCAUUGGAAACUGGAAAACUUGAGUGCAAAAGAGGAAAGUGGAAUUCCAUGUGUAGCGGUGAAAUGCGCAGAGAUAUGGAGGAACACCAGUGGCGAAGGCGACUUUCUGGUCUGUAACUGACGCUGAUGUGCGAAAGCGUGGGGAUCAAACAGGAUUAGAUACCCUGGUAGUCCACGCCGUAAACGAUGAGUGCUAAGUGUUAGGGGGUUUCCGCCCCUUAGUGCUGCAGCUAACGCAUUAAGCACUCCGCCUGGGGAGUACGACCGCAAGGUUGAAACUCAAAGGAAUUGACGGGGACCCGCACAAGCGGUGGAGCAUGUGGUUUAAUUCGAAGCAACGCGAAGAACCUUACCAAAUCUUGACAUCCUUUGACAACUCUAGAGAUAGAGCCUUCCCCUUCGGGGGACAAAGUGACAGGUGGUGCAUGGUUGUCGUCAGCUCGUGUCGUGAGAUGUUGGGUUAAGUCCCGCAACGAGCGCAACCCUUAAGCUUAGUUGCCAUCAUUAAGUUGGGCACUCUAAGUUGACUGCCGGUGACAAACCGGAGGAAGGUGGGGAUGACGUCAAAUCAUCAUGCCCCUUAUGAUUUGGGCUACACACGUGCUACAAUGGACAAUACAAAGGGCAGCGAAACCGCGAGGUCAAGCAAAUCCCAUAAAGUUGUUCUCAGUUCGGAUUGUAGUCUGCAACUCGACUACAUGAAGCUGGAAUCGCUAGUAAUCGUAGAUCAGCAUGCUACGGUGAAUACGUUCCCGGGUCUUGUACACACCGCCCGUCACACCACGAGAGUUUGUAACACCCGAAGCCGGUGGAGUAACCUUUUAGGAGCUAGCCGUCGAAGGUGGGACAAAUGAUUGGGGUGAAGUCGUAACAAGGUAGCCGUAUCGGAAGGUGCGGCUGGAUCACCUCCUUUCU
rnacentral:rRNA from 1 species